AGCCUUGUGGUGUAUAGCACACGUCGAAUUGCAAAUUCGGAAAAGCAGUAUCAACUCUGCCGAGGCUU
rnacentral:tRNA from 1 species